rnacentral:SRP_RNA from 1 species
GCUGGGCAUGGUGGCGAAUGCCUGUAAUCCCAGCUACCUGGGAGGUUGAGGCAGGAGAAUCGCUUGAACCCAGGAGAUGGAGGGUGCAGUGAACCCUGAUCACGCCACUGCACUCCAGCCUGGGUGACAGGGUGAGACUCCGUCUCAA